AGGGUAAAGAAGAUGCACCAGAAAACCCAGCUGGUCCAACGUAUACUUUCAGCUCCAUUGAAUCACAAAUAAGAGUUUUGGGUGAUUAUGCCUUCAUGUUACAUGAUUAUGAGCUUGCAUUGUCUAACUAUCGUCUACUUUCUACCGACUACAAGCUCGACAAAGCUUGGAAACAUUAUGCUGGUGUUCAGGAAAUGAUGGGGCUGACCUACUUCAUUUUGGAUCAGUCGAGAAAGGAUGGUGAAUAUUGCAUGGAUAAUGCAUUUACUACAUAUUUAAGAAUUGGAUCAUCAGGUCAAAG
rnacentral:misc_RNA from 1 species